rnacentral:rRNA from 1 species
GACGAACGCUGGCGGCGUGCUUAACACAUGCAAGUCGAACGGAAAGGCCCUGCUCGCAGGGUACUCGAGUGGCGAACGGGUGAGUAACACGUGGGUGAUCUGCCCUGCACUUCGGGAUAAGCUUGGGAAACUGGGUCUAAUACCGGAUAGGACCGCACUUUAGUGUGUGUGGUGGAAAGUUUUUUCGGUGUAGGAUGAGCUCGCGGCCUAACGGCUUGCUGGUGGGGUAAUGGCCUACCAAGGCGGCGUCGGGUAGCCGGCCUGAGUGGGUGUACCGCCACAUUGAGACUGAGGGAAGGCCGAGACUCCGACGGGAGGCAGAAGUGGGGAAGAUUGCACGAGGGGCGCCGGCCGGGUGCAGCGGCGCCUCGUGGGGGAUAAAGGCCUUAGGGUUGAAAACUCCUUUCGCUAGGAACGAAGCUUUUUGUGACGGUACCUAAAUAAGAAGCACCGGCUAACUACGUG